rnacentral:rRNA from 1 species
UACGGAGGUGGCAAGCGUUGUUCGGAAUUACUGGGCGUACAGGGUGUGUAGGCGGUUUGGUAAGCCUUCUGUUAAAGCUUCGGGCCCAACCCGGAAAGCGCAGAGGGUACUGCCAGGCUAGAGGGCGGGAGAGGAGCGCGGAAUUCCCGGUGUAGCGGUGAAAUGCGUAGAGAUCGGGAGGAAGGCCGGUGGCGAAGGCGGCGCUCUGGAACGUACCUGACGCUGAGGAGCGAAAGCGUGGGGAGCGAACAGG